UUUGAAAUCUGGCCCCUAGGGUCCGAGUUGUAAUUUGUAGAGGAUGCUUUUGGUGAGGUGCCGCCCGAGUUCCCUGGAACGGGACGCCGCAGAGGGUGAGAGCCCCGUCUGGCUGGCCACCGAGCCUCUGUAAAGCUCCUUCGACGAGUCGAGUAGUUUGGGAAUGCUGCUCAAAAUGGGAGGUAUAUGUCUUCUAAAGCUAAAUAUUGGCCAGAGACCGAUAGCGCACAAGUAGAGUGAUCGAAAGAUGAAAAGCACCUUGAAAAGAGGGUUAAACAGUACGUGAAAUUGUUGAAAGGGAAGCGCUUGUGACCAGACUUGGGCGCGGCGAAUCAUCCGGGGUUCUCUCCGGUGCACUUCGCCGUGUUCAGGCCAGCAUCAGUUCGGCGCGGGGGAAAAAGGCUUCGGGAACGUGGCUGCUCCGGCAGUGUUAUAGCCCGUUGCAUAAUACCCUGCGCUGGACUGAGGACCGCGCAUCUGCAAGGAUGCUGGCGUAAUGGUCACCAGCGACCCGUCUUGA
rnacentral:rRNA from 1 species